CGGCCUGUUACUCCACCAGCAUGGAGCCAUCACGGAUCUGAGUUGUUUCGUCGUUUUCCUCAACGGCUGUCCCACGGAGAGGGUCCCUGCGGCAGCGGCCACGGCAAGCGUGCAAACACCCUGCGCGUCCAUCCGGAGCACAGUGCUGUCGGCACACGGUUAUGGAUGGUGAGGCCGUGGACGUGAACGGACCCGGGGACAAGCCAGCACGUCUGACCGGCACUGACACAGGGGGAGACGGGGCUCCUCGUGCAGGGGGAGUGCUGGGGGGGAUCCUGGGAUCCUGGGACUGCGGAGCCAAGCCUGAGAGCCAGGUGGGAACCGGUGUGAAUGUCUUACUGUGGACAGAGGGAUUAGCCCCAGGGGCAGCCGGGGGCAGGGUGUUCGGGACCAGCCCCGCUGCCUCUGCGCCCCCGCCCCACUGCAGGCCCUCCAGCCCCCACCCUGGCACCCCGACCCCUCCACGCUCACGCUGGGCUUCGCAGGCCCCCGGGCCCUCGUCCGUGCUCUCCUGGGCCGGCCUUGAUCCUCGGGGCUGAACAAGGUGAAUGUAGGGCCUGCGGCAGGACCACACCCUGAAGGGCUGAGCAGGAAGGGGAGCCGGGCACAGGUAGGAGCCGGGCACAGGUAGGGGUGUGGCCGCUGGCUCCGCCCCAAGCAGGUGGGAGAGGGACACAACCGUGCAGAGGGUGUGGGGAAGCAGAGGGCCUUUCGGAACCCUGUUCUCCCUCUUCCCAAAUCUGAGAAAUGCAGAAAGGCAGAAAAAAUUAAAAACAGAUGAGGAAAAUAACCAGACCCCAGCUGCGCUCAUCACCCUGAGCUUCCCUCCGUUUCCUGGAAGAGGAACAAGCCGCCGGAGACGGGUGCUCUGACCAAGGACUUGCGGCAGUGGUGUGCGUGCGACCAGGUUUCAGGGUGAGCUCAUCUCCCCGCCCCCCGGCGCAGUAGGCAGAUCGGGCUCCCGCACCCUCUUCCCGAGCGAGAACCCCGGCUCCGCGGGAGCCUCAGUUCCAGCGUCUGCCCCACGUGGGAUGGAGGCCACCUCAUUUCUGGCUCCUUCCUGGUGUCAGAACCCAGAACUCUCAGUCUCUGCAUUCCUGCCUCGUGGGAAUAUCCCUUCCUUCCUUUCUCGCGGCCCCCAGCUCUGCUCCUACCGGAUGUCACCAUUCACGGGAUUCCGAACACCCCGUUGCCAGGGCCGGGGGCUUGGUUCUGCUUCCAUCUGAUCGAAAGCAGACCACGUUCCGAUGACGACAUGUGUUCACCGUCCACUGUCCCCUCGUGAGGUUGAUGCUAUAUUCGCCCUCGUAUUGACAGACAGGGAAACUGAGGAGCGGGGAAGUCGGUAAUUCAUCUCCAAGUGCACCGCUAGCAGAGGUACAGAAGGCCAGAACUCGAAUCCAGCUAACUCCAGAACCCAGGACUUCUCCACGGGGCUCACUGCUCCCAAAGGCCCCCGGUCUGCCAGCGAAGGUUGUCCAAUAAAGGGCGCAGUGAGGUGUGGCCGCGUCCCCGUGGGAGAGAAGCAUACGCUUUCUCCAGUUCUCCAUCCGAUGCGAUUAUUUGGGGCACACUAAAAGUUAUUCGUCGUGUAUCUGAAUUCAAAUUUAACAGGAUAUCCUGUAUUUUUAUUCGCUAAAUCGGGCAGCCACGCUGUCAGCUGAUGUCGGGAGCUCCAGGGCUGCCCGCCCAACAAGCUCUCCCAGACGUCGGGAGACUUGGCGGCUGAGCUCUCUCCGUCCGUCUGGGUGAGGGGUUGCGUCUCGCCCCCCCCCCCCCCCAGAGGUCCGCAGACGGUCGCUGUUGCUGAACUUGAACUUAAGCAUCUCCCGGUAGCUGUGAAGGCUCUUGUUCCUCCCUGCAGUCCGGAGAGGGCAGGAUCUCAAGGUCACCUUCAUCCAAGGGUCCCCCGGAAGAUCGGAGGCACACGCCUGCCAACCCCGUGAGAAGGAGCCAGGGUAGGGUAGGGAGUGUGGUGAGCCUCCGAUCUGGGCACACGGCUGCUUUGCCCGGGUUACCCACACCACCGAAGCCAGGGCGAUGUUGGGGGAGCACUCAUGGGACGACCUUCCCGAGGGCAAUUUCUCAAUUCACGUCCAAAUGUCAAAGCGCAUCGCCUUUGACUCAGCAUUUCUACUUCUGGGAACUUAGGCGAAGGAAAUGUUCCAACCGGGUACAAAGAUGAUGGCUCAGGGGUGUUCAUCCCGGCGUGGGCUAGAAUACCUGGAAACGCGCAGCAGCCUGAGCGCCUCUCGGUCCCGGUGGGAUCAUCAAGCAUCUGUGUGAUGGAAAUGCAAGGCGUCUUUAAAAACAAUCUUGUGGCUCUCUGUCUGUGGAGAUGGGAAGGAACCUGUCAUCUGUGUUUGAAUUAAAAAGGCUGGAACGCAGUGGUGAUGGCUGGAGCUCCAGCUGCCAUCCUGGACCAGAAGGUCACAGGAGGAUCGUGUCUCCAGGGUGAUGGCUCAGGGAACAGUAACAGGCCUCAAUCUUUGAAGGCUUUGUAAGAAGGCUUUGUAAGCGCCCAUCCACGCCUAGACUUUCACAGGAAAGAGAAACCAGUUUCUUUCUUGUUAAAACCACCACUGUUUGGGGAGGGUCUGCUACACAGUCAAACCUAACCCCGACCCCUCCAAGUAGUUCCUUUAACUAGCAAGAUCUCUGGGGAUUUAAUUAUCUGUUUAAGUUGU